UACGGAGGAUGCGAGCGUUAUCCGGAUUUAUUGGGUUUAAAGGGUGCGUAGGCGGACGCUUAAGUCAGCGGUAAAAUCGCGGGGCUCAACCCCGCUCCGCCGUUGAAACUGUGUCCCUUGAGUGCGCGAAGGGUAGGCGGAAUGCGUGGUGUAGCGGUGAAAUGCAUAGAUAUCACGCAGAACGCCGAUUGCGAAGGCAGCUUACCGGCGCUCAACUGACGCUGAGGCACGAAAGUGCGGGUAUCGAACAGG
rnacentral:rRNA from 1 species